CAACCCAACCCUCUCAACCACAUCAAUCUCCAUCCAAGUUCCAGCAAUAGCCUACUGCCUUUAAUUUCAUUUACCAGCAACCUCAAGCUGCGAACCUUUGAUGUAGAUUUUACAUCCAAUAAAAACAUAUUGAUCAACUCCUGUGGACUGCAAAAGCAAAGCUGCCAUUAACCACCACACCCCAACAAGGGCUCAACGCACAAUAUGAUGGGAGAACAAGAGGCACAAA
rnacentral:lncRNA from 1 species